rnacentral:rRNA from 1 species
CGCGUAGGCGGCUCUGUUUGUCGCGUGUGAAAGCCCGGGCUCAACCUGGGAAUGGCGCGCGAGACGGCGGGGCUGGAGUUCGGGAGAGGAGCGUGGAAUUCCCAGUGUAGAGGUGAAAUUCGUAGAUAUUGGGAAGAACACCGGUGGCGAAGGCGGCGCUCUGGACCGAGACUGACGCUGAGGCGCGAAAGCGUGGGGAGCAAACA